rnacentral:rRNA from 2 species
CGGCGGACGGGUGAGUAACACGUGGAUAACCUACCUAUAAGACUGGGAUAACUUCGGGAAACCGGAGCUAAUACCGGAUAAUAUAUUGAACCGCAUGGUUCAAUAGUGAAAGACGGUUUUGCUGUCACUUAUAGAUGGAUCCGCGCCGCAUUAGCUAGUUGGUAAGGUAACGGCUUACCAAGGCAACGAUGCGUAGCCGACCUGAGAGGGUGAUCGGCCACACUGGAACUGAGACACGGUCCAG